UUCAACGAAGGGCUUCUCUGCUUCCUUCAAAAACGGAUUUGCAGAGCUGAGUUUCUUAUUUCCUGUUAAAACCCUCAGGGCUUCUCUACUUCCUCCAACGAAGGAUUUGCAGAGGUUAUCAAAUACAGAAACUUUGAACUUCUUACAGUUCUUUCUUCCCAGCAAAGAAGAACUUCCAAUUUCCAGAAAACAUUUACCUUCCAAUUAUCAAAUAGGCCGUGUAACAACACGGAACUUGAAAAGGGAACCUCGCUGAAGGGUAAAAGUAAGUUACCCAUCCCCGACUGCCCUAGCGAAGAAGAGGGUAUUUGCUUGCCCCCGACUGCCCUAACCACAGAGCAGAGACGAGCCUACGAGCCUCCUCACAAAGGUACAUCUCAGUUUUUUCUCUCUUUGGUUUUUCUCUCUCUCUCUAGUUUUUUCUCUAUCCCAUAGUUUGUUUGGUCUCUUUGAUUUUUUCUCUAGGUUCCAAACGUGGUGAAAAUGAAUCUAGGGUUUUCUCUAAAUAUUGUUUUGUGGUAAAUUGUUCUCUGUAGUGAAAAAAUAAUUUGGCUGUUUUUUUUGGUAAACAGUUCUAUGUAGAAACCUUGCCCCUCAUCCCUCCCUUUCAAACCCUCCUCUCUCCAUUCCAGCUAAAUUUCACAGUUCUCUCAUUUUCUAAUUCUUGUUUUCAUCUAGUUUCUUCACCUACACAGGUGACAAUCAUAACCAUUUGGUGUCCCCUUUUUUUUUUUCUUUUUUAUGAUUGCUAUCAUCUGAAAAUGAGAUAAUCAAUGAGAUUGCUUAAAUUUGAUUCAUGGUUAGCUUUUUUGUUUUUUUCUUGAUUGAUAGUUCUUUUGUUGGUCGUGAAGAAAUGAAAGAAAAAAAAUUGCAAUAUUGCUUUCUUUUUUGCCAUAGGUUUAGAUUAAGCUUACUUUUUAUUUUUCAAUAUCAAGCAUAGGGAAUGUAGUUAUAGAAUCAGCGAACAAGAAAAAAAACAACUUGUUAUAGAUUGAUUGGAAUUUUUUGUAAAUAACAACAUUUCUCAAGGAAAUCAGCAGGAAAUUUGUUGA